GGACGGGUGAGUAACCCGUAGGUAACCUGCCCAGAAGCGGGGGGCAACAUUUGGAAACCGAUGGUAAUACCGCAUAACAACGUUGUUCGCAUGAACAACGCUUAAAAGAUGGCUUCUCGCUAUCACUUCUGGAUGGACCUGCGGUGCAUUAGCUGGUUGGUGGGGUAACGGCCCACCAAGGCGAUGAUGCAUAGCCGAGUUGAGAGACUGAUCGGCCACAAUGGGACUGAGACACGGCCUAUACUCCUACGGGAGGCAGCAGUAGGGAAUCUUCCACAAUGGGCGAAAGCCUGAUGGAGCAACACCGCGUGAGUGAAGAAGGGUUUCGGCUCGUAAAGCUCUGUUGUUAAAGAAGAACACGUAUGAGAGUAACUGUUCAUACGUUGACGGUAUUUAACCAGAAAGUCACGGCUACC
rnacentral:rRNA from 1 species